GAUGAACGCUGGCGGCGUGCCUAAUACAUGCAAGUUGAGCGAACAGACGAGGAGCUUGCUCCUCUGACGUUAGCGGCGGACGGGUGAGUAACACGUGGAUAACCUACCUAUAAGACUGGGAUAACUUCGGGAAACCGGAGCUAAUACCGGAUAAUAUAUUGAACCGCAUGGUUCAAUAGUGAAAGACGGUUUUGCUGUCACUUAUAGAUGGAUCCGCGCCGCAUUAGCUAGUUGGUAAGGUAACGGCUUACCAAGGCAACGAUGCGUAGCCGACCUGAGAGGGUGAUCGGCCACACUGGAACUGAGACACGGUCCAGACUCCUACGGGAGGCAGCAGUAGGGAAUCUUCCGCAAUGGGCGAAAGCCUGACGGAGCAACGCCGCGUGAGUGAUGAAGGUCUUCGGAUCGUAAAACUCUGUUAUUAGGGAAGAACAAAUGUGUAAGUAACUAUGCACGUCUUGACGGUACCUAAUCAGAAAGCCACGGCUAACUACGU
rnacentral:rRNA from 1 species